AAACGCACUAAUGACUUUCAUUCAAUACACGUGUAAGAUUUGUUUCCCAUAUACAUGUACCAGGUCUAUAGCAAAACCAGAGUAUAUGUGAGAUAUAAAGUAAAUAAUAAAGAAUAUACCAAGAGUACAACCAAAACCAAACUAAAAACAACAAAAGUCCAACAAAAAACGACGAAAACAACCAAUGUAAUGAAACCGAACACAGAAAGAAAAAGAAAAAAAAA
rnacentral:lncRNA from 1 species